GACCAGAGAGAUGGGAUACAAGGUAGGAGAGACAAUAACCUGGCCGAGAAGACCAGAGAGAUGGGGGAUACAAGAUGAAGAAGCACAUGCAGGAUUUAACCAGCAAGAUCUCCCGUAAAGGACUGGACCGUAACGAACUGUAAGGGGUUCCUCAGACGAGGCCCUGGGGGACGACGACGACAGAAGGCUGUGUGUUUUCAACAUCAGGACUCGAAACAACAAAUGAAGUCUUUCUUCGUGUUUUUCUUGCUACAGUGGUUCAGAGUGUGGCGAUCGAUGCUGCUGUCAUGACAACCCUACGAUGGAACUUCUAAUCUGCCUGUCUAUAUAUACACACACACACACACACACACACUUCCGUCCACAUUACUCUUUUGUAGACUACUUUAAUGAAAUCAGUGUUUUUCCGCGUAAA